UGGAGAGUGCACAGCUGUACUCAGCCUCAGCCAAAACUUGCUUAGUACUGAAGCUGUCUUCAUCACCACCUUACCAGUAGAUGGAGAUGCUGAAUAUGAACUGAACAAAGGUACUUCUAGGGUACCCCUUAGACACGAUAGAAGGAUUGCUGUUUGAAAAGCACCCUGUGACCCACCUCAGCCUGGAGCCCUUCACCCAGUGUGCCUGGAUUAUUUAUCUCCCAAAUUCCUGAAGAGAUCCAGCUGAUGUCAUCCUCUGAGCUGCUGUGAAGGGUGAGAUAAAGUUUAUAUGUAGUCUAUCCUGAGACUUAGACUAUGGGAGAUUU
rnacentral:lncRNA from 14 species